AUUAUCGAGGCUGCAGCAUGGCAGUAGCAGCAGCAGCAGCAGCAGGAGCAGCAGCAGCAGCAGCAGACUCCUUUCUCUCUCUUCGUCUCCCCGUCUCCCCGGCUGUUUCUUUCAGGAAUGGAUAUUGGGUGACUGGCUGGGUGCUGGGUGCGCACUGGGGAUCUCUUGGUGGGAAACGCAGAAGCUUUUUUGUUAAGGAGGGAGGGCGGGAGGAGGGAGACUGGCACAAGGCGCGACACUGUUGCGUCUACAUAUUUUUUUCUCCUUGGGCAGAGGGGAAAAGAUAGGCCAGGGGGACUGUCCGACUUAUUCCAAAAGACAAUUCGUUCCCCCCACCCCCAAAAGGAUAAUCUUGCUCAAUUUGGGAUGCGUGCAACACCAAGUGAUCAGAUAUUACUGGGGCGGCGGUGGUGCUGGCGGUGGGUGGACGGUGAAGUUCAACUUCGCUUGCAGACGCGAUCUUCUUCAGGCAGCCAGACAACCAACCAGACAGUCGGCGCAUUUUACGCGAAGUCCCCAUAUGGCUAUGGGAUGCUGACACCUGCCCGGCACGCAGGUAACAACGACUGGGCAGCAUCACCUACUUCCCCAGAUACUGACAGACAGCAGAUCAGCGGCUCGAUGGCUCAGGACCUAUUGUGGACCUAACAUGGCUGCCAACAAUAAGACAUGAUGACAUUGUCCUGUUUUUAUGUUGGAGGCCUCCCAGUAAGGAGUUCUCUUGAAUACCUCUUCAGCGUGACAUGGAGACGGGCUCGUAACCACCAGCGGAGCCGAGCUGAGCUGCAGAGCUGCUUUAGAGCCCUGCUGAGACCUGCCAGACCCACAGCUCUCCCUGCCAGGGGCCUCGGCUCGCAGUCAGAGUGAGUUACAGCCCAUGCUCCUGACACACAUACGCUAAUAGAGAAACACACAUACAGAUAGCUUAGAUGUGUACAGUAUAUAGGCAUGCAUGUGCACGCAUUAGGUGGAACGCAUAGUGAUAUAUAUAUAUAUGUGCAGAACCAUAAAUCUAUACACACACAUGCAAAUUUAAAACACACACAUUCAUGUGCACACACAUACUGAUGGAUAAUGAUAUGCCAAUAGCUGUGAGCGUCACCUCAUGGGACCGGUUAAUACAUGAGAUAAGGCUACUGCAUGCACAGCUGCUUAUGUCCCUAACCUUUUUAUUCAAGUUAGCACCCCAGUGACCCUGGUAACUCACGCAUACUCCCACACACAUAGAUACAGUAUAUGUAAACAAUAUAAAUGUGUGCCACGCUGCACACAUGCAAUAAAGUGAGCACGUCCUCCUACGGAAGCUCUCUCUGUCAGGGUUAGUUUAAGGUCAAGGUCCGGCAGCUGCUGGAUCAGCUGGAUUGAUCUGUCUGGGUAAACAUGUAGGGUGGAAAUGAGCAUUUUUGUGAUUAAAGGCUUAGUAGAAGGUGUGUAGGUGUGUGUGUGUGUGUGUGUGUGUGUGUGUGUGUGUGUGUGUGUGAGAGAGGAAACAUCAGUAUGUGACUGUAUAUAUAUUGUGUAGAGGAGAGUAAUGUGUAUCAGCUGUGUCAGUAUGUGCGUCUAAAUUGAUCUUUUUUCAUCAUGGCUCAGACAGAAUCACUUACAUCCAGAGGUAAAUCAUCUAGUCUGUGUUUGCUGAAGAGAAUAAAUUCCACAAGCUCCUGGUUCAGUGCCUGUGUUUUUUUGUUUUUUCUUUACCAUGUAAGCCAAUGAAUGAAUUGUCUGCUCUUGAUGUCAAUUCUGAAGAUGAAAUGUCUUUAAUAAUUCAUUGUGAGUAUGUCUACCCUGUAAACUCAGCUAUGAUGAUUUUCAUGUUUGUACUGUACUACACUCACAUGUUCACUUGGUUUCCUACGAGUACAUAUUAAUUUACGUUACAAAGUUCAUAAGUGACAGUGAAUCGUGGCCUAUUUUUCUUUAGGUCACAUAAAGAAUGAAGUAAAAGGCUUCUGUGGCUACAUUAAUACAGCCAGUAUUUAGUACUGAGUACUGAGGAGAACAAUUGUAUCAUAUAUACUGUAUUACCACAGGGCAUCACCCUGUAUGAGGAAAGUACCACAGACACAAACAUCACUGAACCUUAUGCCAACAAAUCUCCCCAAAGGCACGGUCAUUGAGUUUUCGAACACCACAAACAACGUGAAAAUGAACAAGAACAAAUCAACGAACAUUCGCUGCUAACUUUUGGUUUAGAGGGAAGAUUGUAGUCACUGUAAAUAAACUAUAUAGUUGGUUAAAGCAAAAUUCCACUGAUUUUACCCAUCAAAAUCUGUAUACAGGUCUUGUAGUACUAUUGAUUAUGUCUUUUGUGGCACCAUGGGGAGCUUCCUCAAAUCUGAUUAACUGUCUCAAGUGAUGUCACGUGGUUGAGUCUGAAAAGUGUGAAAAUGAAAAGAAAAUCUGGAGGUGAGGAGUCAGAAAGAAGUAAGCUUAUCAGACCUCUGUAGCCCACUUCUCACCUCUGCCUGAGUUUAGCGGCUCAAGACUACAUUAGCUGCUACUGACGGAACACAUCUGAAUCUCUGAUUGAACAGUCGUUAGUGGAGUUGCAUUGUAGGUAAUGUAGGCCCAGGUUCAGACAAGGAAGAAGAAUGUGAGGUAUAAAAAAAAAAAAAAGAAUCUGGAAGUGGCUACCUGAAUUAUUUCAUGUAGCGGCUACAAUUAUAGAGCAUGGUUGUCAUUCCCUUUUACAACUGAGCUGUAUCUGGACAUAACCAUAUUUAGCACUCACAUGAGGGCUGACACACUGUGGUGCUGGCUGUAAUAAAUGUAUCUCACAGAGGUAAUAUAUCGUGUGUGUGCAUGAGUAGCAAUAAGGCUUGUGUCUACAUUAAUCCCAGGAAUGUUAAUCUGAUGUAAUAGUGAUGCAAUAGAACAAAGCGUGGGUGUGGAGUAAGAGUCCCCUGGAGCAGAGUUAAGGUCUUAAAGUACUAAAAAGCCUUGACCCAGACCCUACACACCCACUCACAGGGACACAGCACCUCUCCUCCAGCCCAGCACAUGCUUUCAUACUUUGGCUAUGCAGUAAAGAAACACACACUUGGACACACCAACAAACACAGACACAGAAAAGACAAGAAAAGGAUAUGAACUUAUACAACAAACAUAUGUCUCUCGGAGGAAGAUGAGCACAAAAUGUACCCAGUCGCAGAUGUCAAUGCGUUUGCUCUCCCUAGCUCAAACAAACGCAUACACAACUGAACACAUCCCCGUUGUCUUGUGUUGCUCGCCAUGCAACGAGGAGCACAUGACUUAAAUCGGGUGUGGUGCAUGACCUGUUAUCAGACAAAAGCGUCCCACAGAGAGAGCUGAUGGGGGAGACUGUGCCUCCCCGCCUGUCCCGUCUGUUGGCAGUCAUGAGGUCUCCAUCCCGUUCGCCACGCUGUGUCUCGUGGUUCAAAGCACAUAAAAUGUUUGAGCUAAAAAAUCCCCCGCUUUUAAAACAUUCGGGCAUGGUGGCGUGUUGUCAAUAAAUCAGCUGCUUAGCCUGGGGAGAGCGACAUUAACCGAGGGGAAGGAAGUGCAAAACACUUAUUUUUAAGGCAUGUUUUUCGAGAAUGAACCCUUUGAAAUUUUUUUUUUUUGCGUCCUAUAAAUGUCUCACCUAGAGGGCCUAAUGUCUCUCAGCGAGAAUGGCUGGUUUGUACUCAACGCAUUAACCCUGAAGCCUUUCCAUGCUUUGCAGUCAUGCAAAGUAAAAUGCAAAUAUUCCAGCGACAGAAGUUCUGUAUCCUGUUUUAUCUCAUUUACUGAUCGGUUUUUAGUGUCUUUGUGAAAAAGUCUUAUCAUUUAACUGUCAUAAUGACUGUAAUAUCUGUGUUAGUGCAGUAACUAGUGUGUCUCAUAUCUUACUGAGAUCAUUUCUUGACUCAAGACAGUGUCAUCAACAAAAUUGGUCAUACCUCACCUUAUCUCGAUUUCAGUGACAGGACUAACUUUCCGGCAGUAAUGAUGUUCACUGAAACCUCUGCAACAGUUUUGGAGCCCAAUAAGGCUAACACUUAGGAAAAUACCAUAUAUUUUUAUGUUGCAUGCUAAGUUUCAUAGGCAGGCAGUUAAAAUGCUUCUGCAGGUGUUAAAACGGCUAAUAAAGCAAAUUGUUCCACCACCAGUGAAAAGGUAUCCGUAAAAAAAUCAGUAAGAUGGAGGCCAGGGUGAUGACUUAUAAAACUUUACUACUGAACAUCCCCUCUUUGUUUUGGUUGAUAGCUGAAACGGGCUGGCAAAGUGUAACCAAAAGGGUGAAAUCAAAUUGAGCUGAAAUGUAUGAGGUUAUGUGUGUGUGUGUGUGUGUGUGAGUGUGUGUGUGUCUCUCAGAGCAAAAGCUAGUCGUCCCAUCACAAGGUAGUGUCACUGAGAGGCAAUGCCCCUAGGCAGCUGGCCACGGUCCACCCAGGGCACUUUAAAUUAAAGUAGCGUUCACUAACACAAGGUUAGUGGGUUCAUCCACUGUGGAGAUAUGAAAAGGACCAAUUGUCUGGUGCAGUGCUGUUGGCUGCAUGAAAAUCAAGUGAAGACGCUUUGUAUCGCUGGCCUGUACGUGACCAUGGCUAAUUGUGGAAUGAAUCGAACAACCAAAGGAUGGAUUGAGGAAUGUAAAGGCAGAAGCAAAUAUACAGUAGAUGCCUACAAUGAUAACUGUCCCUUUGGGUGAAGGCUGCUUCCAAGAAUUAAAUACUGCAUGAAGCAAAAUAAGGUUUGUAAAGCGUUUGUUCCUGGAUAAUGUAUACUCCUUAUGUGAAAUAUGUUGAAUAAAGAUUCUGUUCAAAAUA